UACGGGGGGGGGCAAGCGUUGUUCGGAAUUACUGGGCGUAAAGGGCUCGUAGGCGGCCAACUAAGUCGGACGUGAAAUCCCCAGCUCAACCUGGGAACUGCGUCCGAUACUGGAUGGCUUGAAUUCGGGAGAGGGGUGCAGAAUUCCAGGUGUAGCGGUGAAAUGCGUAGAUAUCUGGAGGAAUACCGGUGGCGAAGGCGGCAUCCUGGACCGACAUUGACGCUGAUGAGCGAAAGCUAGGGGAGCAAACGGG
rnacentral:rRNA from 1 species